AAUUGCUUUAAAAUACUGCUAAAUUGCUUCAAAUGUAUACAUUUGCGAAGAAAUUCAACAAUCGCAACAACAUUCACAGAAAGAAACCGAAAAAUAUGUUUCAAAGUAGAGAGAUAAAGAGAAUGAUGAUUCAGAGAAGAAUCUUGUUCGUUGAACACAACAAGGCAGAUUCUGAAGAAACGUAAGUAUUAUUUAAAUAACCUAUUUAAACAAGAGUAGAAAAAUUA